GGCUCCGGGCGGCCGUGACCCUGUUGGGGUCCGGUGGUGACCUCCGGCCACGGGGGGGGUCACUGACCCUCGUCUGCUGUGGCUACGGAUUCGAUUUCGGGACAUUCGGGAUGGGCUGGUAUCGCCAGGGACACGGGAAGGGAUUGGAAUAUCUCGGCAGCAUCAACAAUGUUGGCAGCACCGACUACGCGCCAUCGGUCAAGGGCCGAGUGACCAUCGCCAGGGACAACGGGCAGAGCUCGGUGACGCUGACCAUGAGUGACCUCAGGGACGGCGAUUCCGGCUCCUAUUUCUGCGCCAAAUCUGGUGAUACUGAUACUG